GGGAUAUGAGGAGUGGUCAAUGCUCGCAUCUGGUGCGAGAUCAGUGCCUGCCUCGCCUGUUACGACAGUCAGGCACUCUUAUUUUUACCAUCUGAUCCC
rnacentral:snoRNA from 1 species